UUCAGGAAGCCUGUGCAUAAGUAUCUCCCACAGAGAUUCUUCUGUGUUUGAGUGUCGUCACUGUUUAAGCACAAAGUGAUGGGGGAUUUCAUAUCUUAUAGGACAAUUCAUUCAAUUUAAAGUCAGCAUGGAUUUUUGUAUUGGAGGUGACCUUAAAGACCCCAUAAUGCGAUGUGCACAGAGAACCUAUUAUCCAAAGGAUUGGGCUAUGGACUAAUAUCUUGAGAAUUCACAGAUUUUGGAAAGGCAGCUGUUACUGAAAGCAAAUUGCAUCUCUCAAGCUCUUAAUAAAAUUUUGUGCAAUCCCA